GACGAACGCUGGCGGCGUGCUUAACACAUGCAAGUCGAGCGGUAAGGCUCCUUCGGGAGUACACGAGCGGCGAACGGGUGAGUAACACGUGAGCAAUCUGCCCUUCACUUUGGGAUAACCACCGGAAACGGUGGCUAAUACCGAAUACGACCACUUCAGGCAUCUGAUGGUGGUGGAAAGUUCCGGCGGUGGAGGAUGAGCUCGCGGCCUAUCAGCUUGUUGGUGGGGUAAUGGCCUACCAAGGCAACGACGGGUAGCCGGCCUGAGAGGGUGACCGGCCACACUGGGACUGAGACACGGCCCAGACUCCUACGGGAGGCAGCAGUGGGGAAUAUUGGACAAUGGGCGAAAGCCUGAUCCAGCAACGCCGCGUGAGGGAUGACGGCCUUCGGGUUGUAAACCUCUUUCAGUAGGGACGAAGCGCAAGUGACGGUACCUACAGAAGAAGCACCGGCCAACUACGUGCCAGCAGCCGCGGUAAUACGUAGGGUGCGAGCGUUGUCCGGAAUUAUUGGGCGUAAAGGGCUCGUAGGCGGUUUGUCGCGUCGGGAGUGAAAACACGGGGCUUAACCCCGUGCCUGCUUCCGAUACGGGCAGACUAGAGGUAUGCAGGGGAGAACGGAAUUCCUGGUGUAGCGGUGAAAUGCGCAGAUAUCAGGAGGAACACCGGUGGCGAAGGCGGUUCUCUGGGCAUUACCUGACGCUGAGGAGCGAAAGUGUGGGGAGCGAACAGGAUUAGAUACCCUGGUACUCCACACCGUAAACGUUGGGCGCUAGGUGUGGGACUCAUUCCACGAGUUCCGUGCCGCAGCUAACGCAUUAAGCGCCCCGCCUGGGGAGUACGGCCGCAAGGCUA
rnacentral:rRNA from 1 species